rnacentral:rRNA from 1 species
UACGUAGGGUGCAAGCGUUAAUCGGAAUUACUGGGCGUAAAGCGUGCGCAGGCGGUUAUGUAAGACAGAUGUGAAAUGCCCGGGCUUAACCUGGGAACUGCAUUUGUGACUGCAUGGCUAGAGUUUGGCAGAGGGGGGUGAGAAUUCCACGUGUAGCAGUGAAAUGCGUAGAUAUGUGGAGGAACACCGAUGGCGAAGGCAGCCCCCUGGGUCAAGACUGACGCUCAUGCACGAAAGCGUGGGGAGCAAACGGG